rnacentral:rRNA from 1 species
GGAGUCUAGCAUGUGCGCGAGUCACUGGGACUCUAGCGAAACCUAAAGGCACAAUGAAAGUGAACGUCCGCCCUAGCGCGGACGGAGGGAGGAUGGGCCGCGGUCGGUCUUACGUCGUCGCGGCUCCGCACUCCCGGGGCGUUUCGUUCUCAUCGCGAGAAGAGACGCACCCAGAGCGUACACGCUGGGACCCGAAAGAUGGUGAACUAUGCCUGGUCAGGACGAAGUCAGGGGAAACCCUGAUGGAGGUCCGUAGCGAUUCUGACGUGCAAAUCGAUCGUCGGAACUGGGUAUAGGGGCGAAAGACUAAUCGAACCAUCUAGUAGCUGGUUCCCUCCGAAGUUUCCCUCAGGAUAGCUGGCGCUCGCUUUCGCGAGUGUCAUCCGGUAAAGCGAAUGAUUAGAGGCAUUGGGGUCGAAACGGCCUCAACCUAUUCUCAAACUUUAAAUGGGUGAGAACUCCGGCUUGCUCGAACUAGAAGCCGCGAGUUUCGAGCGCGCCGUCGCGCUCGCUCCGGCGGGUGCGGCGGCGCGCGCACGGAUCAGAGUGCCAAGUGGGCCAAUUUUGGUAAGCAGAACUGGCGCUGUGGGAUGAACCAAACGUAGAGUUAAAGCGCCCAAAUCGACGCUCAUGGGAUACCAUGAAAGGCGUUGGUAACUUAAGACAGCAGGACGGUGGCCAUGGAA